AUACUUAUCCAUUGGAUCCAUCUUUUUUUUUUAAUACUUAUAAAAAAAGAUGGAUCCGAUGGAUCCAAUGAUUAUCCAUUGGAUCCAUCUUUUUUUUUUUUAAUACUUAUAAAAAAAGAUGGAUCCGAUGGAUCUAAUG
rnacentral:miRNA from 1 species